UCCAGCAGUAGUCAGCCAUCCGGACAGAACCGUUCCUGUGAUGGUGUUACACUGCUGGGAGAGGAAUGUCUUGUCUUCAUCCGGUUGCCUGUGCCACCGUUCUGGUGGCGUCUGGCACUGGUACAAGACAGACUGUGCUUCCCCGAGAGUGUGCUAAGCAUUCACUUUGGCUGCUUAGUUCUAGUCUGGGAGCAGACAGA
ensembl:snoRNA SNORA74 Small nucleolar RNA SNORA74